UACAGAGGUCCCAAGCGUUGUUCGGAUUCACUGGGCGUAAAGGGUGCGUAGGCGGUCGGUUAAGUCUGAUGUGAAAGCUCGGAGCUCAACUCCGAAAUGGCAUCGGAAACUAUCCGGCUCGAGGAAUGGAGGGGAGACUGGAAUUCUCGGUGUAGCAGUGAAAUGCGUAGAUAUCGAGAGGAACACCAGUGGCGAAGGCGAGUCUCUGGACAUUUCCUGACGCUGAGGCACGAAAGCCAGGGGAGCAAACGGG
rnacentral:rRNA from 1 species